AUGAACGCUGGCGGCGUGGAUAAGGCAUGCAAGUCGAGGGGGCACUCCACAUAGAACAUGAUGACGCAAAAAGUUAUCGUGCGUUAUGUGGAGUGUCACCGGCAGACGAGGUAGUAACACGUAGGAACGAACCAUGAAGUCAGGGACAAGCCAUCGAAAGAUGGUCUAAUACUUGAUAGUCUCGCGAGAGUAAAGAUUUAUCGCUUCAUGAUCGGCCUGCGACGUAUCAGCUAGUUGGUAAGGUAAUGGCUUACCAAGGCUAUGACGCGUAGGGGAGGUGAGAGCCUGGCCCCCACCGAUGGGACUGCGACACGGCCCAUACACCUACGGGUGGCUGCAGUCGAGAAUCUUCCACAAUGGACGAAAGUCUGAUGGAGCGACGCCGCGUGACUGAUGAAGCAUUUCGGUGUGUAAAAGUCUUUUAUGAGGGAUGACAUAGCGACAGUACCUCAUGAAUAAGGGGCUGCUAAUCACGU
rnacentral:rRNA from 1 species